rnacentral:rRNA from 1 species
AGUGAACGCUGGCGGUAGGCCUAACACAUGCAAGUCGAACGGCAGCACAGUAAGAGCUUGCUCUUACGGGUGGCGAGUGGCGGACGGGUGAGGAAUACAUCGGAAUCUACUUUUUCGUGGGGGAUAACGUAGGGAAGCUUACGCUAAUACCGCAUACGACCUACGGGUGAAAGCAGGGGAUCUUCGGACCUUGCGCGAUUGAAUGAGCCGAUGUCGGAUUAGCUAGUUGGCGGGGUAAAGGUCCACCAAGGCGACGAUCCGUAGCUGGUCUGAGAGGAUGAUCAGCCACACUGGAACUGAGACACGGUCCAGACUCCUACGGGAGGCAGCAGUGGGGAAUAUUGGACAAUGGGCGCAAGCCUGAUCCAGCCAUACCGCGUGGGUGAAGAAGGCCUUCGGGUUGUAAAGCCCUUUUGUUGGGAAAGAAAAGCAGCAGGUUAAUACCCCGCUGUUCUGACGGUACCCAAAGAAUAAGCACCGGCUAACUUCGUG